CGAGUCUUAACUGGGCGAAUGAGUUGCAGGGUAUAGACCCGAAACCCGGUGAUCUAGCCAUGGGCAGGUUGAAGGUUGGGUAACACUAACUGGAGGACCGAACCGACUAAUGUUGAAAAAUUAGCGGAUGACUUGUGGCUGGGGGUGAAAGGCCAAUCAAACCGGGAGAUAGCUGGUUCUCCCCGAAAGCUAUUUAGGUAGCGCCUCGUGAACUCAUCUUCGGGGGUAGAGCACUGUUUCGACUAGGGGGUCAUCCCGACUUACCAACUCGAUGCAAACUACGAAUACCGAAGAAUGUUAUCACGGGAGACACACGGCGGGUGCUAACGUUCGUCGUGAAGAGGGAAACAACCCAGACCGCCAGCUAAGGUCCCAAAGUCAUAGUUAAGUGGGAAACGAAGUGGGAAGGCUCAGACAGCCAGGAUGUUGGCUUAGAAGCAGCCAUCAUUUAAAGAAAGCGUAAUAGCUCACUGGUCGAGUCGGCCUGCGCGGAAGAUGUAACGGGGCUAAACUAUGCACCGAAGCUGCGGCAGCGAUAUGUAAAUAUUGUUGGGUAGGGGAGCGU
rnacentral:rRNA from 1 species